GUGGGCUUGAGGAGGCGUGGCUCUGCAGCGCCUCUGGAUGCAGCAGGUGUUUCUGUGGUUACCGCUUGUUUACUCCGUAAACAGCCCAGUUCCUGAUGAACGGUCUCUCUGCCAUCACCUCCAACUUCAAGAAAAAGUACCAAGCACCGCAAACCGAUCCGCUCUUACUACUAACCAGAUUUUAUUUUUGAAGACAAGCUUGCAUCUGAGUAAUUAAUAUAAAAAAGUGUAUAAGGAGAUUUUAGAAUCUCCUGAAGCAAAACUGCUUCUGGGUGGGUUGCUCCCUCCCCACCCCAACUCCCAGCUUAGGAAUGUUAGUGACUGUGCUUGGAAGUCUAGAAAAGAAGGGAUUGUUUUACCCCUGGGAUCAGUAUUGCUAUUUUGAAAUUUGUUUCUAGAUGGAAUGUUCUAUAAUACAGUCGCCUAGGCAUACACUUCUAGCUGGGUGUGGUCUCAAAGCCUGUACUAAGGAGGACAAGACCAGCCUAGGCUAUAGGAGACCAGGACUCAAAACAAUUAUUUUUCACUUUCAAAACCUUACCAAGUGUUUGGAUCGGUUGCUAGGCCCCAAA
rnacentral:lncRNA from 1 species